rnacentral:rRNA from 1 species
CGAGCAUAUAAUGCAGUCGAGCGAACACUUCGGUGGUGAGCGGCGAACGGGUGAGUAACACGUAGGUGAUCUGCCCAUCAGACGGGGACAACGAUUGGAAACGAUCGCUAAUACCGGAUAGGACGAAAGUUUAAAGGUGCUCCUGGCACCGCUGAUGGAUGAGCCUGCGGCGCAUUAACUAGUUGGUAGGGUAAAGGCCUACCAAGGCGACGAUGCGUAGCCGACCUGAGAGGGUGAACGGCCACACUGGGACUGAGACACGGCCCAGACUCCUACGGGAGGCAGCAGUAGGGAAUCUUCGGCAAUGGGCGAAAGCCUGACCGAGCAACGCCGCGUGAAUGAUGAAGGCCUUCGGGUUGUAAAAUUCUGUUAUAAGGGAAGAACGACUUUAGUAGGAAAUGGCUAAAGUGUGACGGUACCUUAUGAGAAAGCCACGGCUAACUACGUGCCAGCAGCCGCGGUAAU